CAUAUGUAAAUUUAGCAAAGGAAAAAGCGAAACAGGUAAAGAGCUCCAAACUCAAACUGUGACAGAAUUUCACCAAACGUAAUGCAGUGUCACACAAAGCAUGGGCUGUGUGUACUGUGUAGUAAUAUCCUCGUGGGUCUCCAGUAAAUGCCCCCUUUUCUCGUUGUUUUUUAACACUGUUUUCUCAUUAAACACCAGUGUGCACACCACAGCGUCUUUAUGCCGAGUGCUUGACAUCUUCACUAGCAUUAUUUUUUCACUUGUCAAAUAUUUUCUCUUAUCUUUGACUGAAACGCGACAAAAAAUAAAGACAACACAAUGAAGACACAUGCCUCCUCCUGCUCCUUCAUUUUUGCCCUGGGAGAAAAUUCUAAUCUAGCAUCGCCGUAUUCCUUCUCGCAGCUUUGCAUAGAAGAUGAGUCUCGCAGCAGCAGCAUAAAAAUGUGCGCUGCUGUACACGUAAGGCUUUAUCACUUAUCUGCACGGCUGAUAAAGUUGGACUCAUUAUUUGCCGUGGUUGUUAAUGCGGCUGCUUGGUCUGGGGAAAUAAUAUUCUUGCAUGCCUUGUUAACUCUGUUUCUCUUCAGUCCUUCCACCCGCCCGCAAUUUCUCUUUGUCUGGCUCUUUUUUUUUUCUCUUUCUUUUUCUUUUCACAAACCGCCUCCUUGUCUCUCAUCCUCCCACCUCGCUUUAUUUUUAUUGUUGUCAUUCGAAAUCUGUCACUCGUCUCUCACGCUGGCUGUCGGCUCUACGCAUCCUCUCCUUAUUUGACCUACCCACUUUCGUCUAUCUGCCAUCGCCCACCAUUCACAAGCCGCGCUUGCAAAUUCCACAACGUAACAUGUAUGGCCUGUGAACACUUGUCAAAGGAGCACUUGAGGGAUGUUUGACACAAAUGACAAGGCCUUACCAUUCACACUACGUAACGUACAGCAUGUUGACGGUGACAGUGCAGCGCACGCUUUAAGUAACUGAACAAAUCACCUAAAGGAGCCAAAGAUUUUCCCGCUGCACCCUCUGAGCUGUCACAUAUUUAAAACUUAACUAGGUUUUAACAGGACUUCAAGAAGGAUUUUAAUACAUGUUGAUGUUAGCACCUGCA
ensembl:lncRNA